UUCUUAAUGUAGCCCAACGUCUGUGACAAGCCAGAAGAGAUUACCUAUAGUUACGCGUACUAAGGUAAUAGAAUACAGAGUCAAGA
rnacentral:ribozyme from 2 species